GGUUGGUUAAUGUUGUAUGCGUAUGUUUCCCUUAAAACAAUAUGGUUAAACGGAGGGAUCCAUUUACUCAAAGAUUAAGUUUUUUAAACUUAUUCCUCAUUCUAUCCAUCAAUUCUAGGGAAAUCCAAUAGUUUCAAUUAAUGGGUAUAUCUAAACUAUUAAAUAUCCCUAUGAUUGAUGGCUAGGAUGGAGAAUAAACUUAAAAAAC
rnacentral:lncRNA from 1 species